ACUCCUACGGGAGGCAGCAGUGGGGAAUAUUGCACAAUGGGGGAAACCCUGAUGCAGCCAUGCCGCGUGUGUGAAGGAAGGCCUUCGGGUUGUAAAGCACUUUCAGUAGGGAGGAAGGUAGUGUAGUUAACACCUGCACCUAUUUGACGUUACCUACAGAAGUAAGCACCGGCUAACUCCGUGCCAGCAGCCGCGGUAAUACGGAGGGUGCGAGCGUUAAUCGGAAUUACU
rnacentral:rRNA from 1 species